rnacentral:rRNA from 1 species
CACGUAGGGGGCGAGCGUUGUCCGGAUUUAUUGGGCGUAAAGAGCUCGUAGGCGGUGUGUCGCGUCGGCCGUGAAAACCUGCAGCUUAACUGUGGGCUUGCGGUCGAUACGGGCAUCACUGGAGUUCGGCAGGGGAGACUGGAAUUCCUGGUGUAGCGGUGAAAUGCGCAGAUAUCAGGAGGAACACCGGUGGCGAAGGCGGGUCUCUGGGCCGAUACUGACGCUGAGGAGCGAAAGCGUGGGGGAGCGAACAGG